rfam:Glycine max cultivar Williams 82 chromosome 16, whole genome shotgun sequence.
UUCUCAUUAGACGAUAACGUUACGUGUCACAUUUUAAUUGGAUGUUGACUUUACAAACGAUGAAAAUAUAUUAUUGUUGUUAUCGUCCAAUCAAAAUGUUACAUACAUGUUAUCGUCU